GACCCCAGGGUCUGAGUCGCCGCUGCCGCCGCUGCCACCAUCCGCGAGGCAGGCGAGAGGAAGAGUGCGGCGUGACGGCCCCGGGGCCGCGGAGGGACCCAGAUAUGGAGCUUCGAGAAGAAGCUUGGUCUCCGGGGCCACUGGAUUCUGAGGACCAGCAGAUGGCCAGUCAUGAGAACCCAGGUGAGGUGGCCUUGGUGGUCCCUCAACCAACCCCACUUCUUUCCCACCAGGCCAGGGAACCAUCCUUUGUGACUCUGGGGUGCCUGGAUUCCUGCCCCUUGCCCUCCAAGAGCCCCACACUCCCAGCUUAGAAUGAGAGGCUGGUGUUCAGGUCCCUAAGGGUCCUUUUAAUAGCACCACCCGGAUCCUUGGAGCCACCUUUUGUGUCAUAUCUGCAGCUAGCUAUUGUUGAGCACCCCUUUUGUGUCCCAUUUCCCGCUCUAGUUCCAAGAGUACCGUGUCUGCCUCCAAACCCAGGGUCUGGGAGUUAUAAUGAAUGAGGGAAGGACUGGGAAGGGGAAUCUGAGGUCACAUGGUAAGAUUUGGGAAGGGUGGGCUGGGCUAAAUAUGAAAUUAUUCACUUUUAAGCAUUGGCAACAUGUGUUCUUUUUGUUUAAUAAAGCAUUAUUAGGUUGAAAAACUCACCUGUGGGUUACGUGGAGCCUAGGUGUUUUGGGUAAGACCCAUCCUGGUCCACCAACACCCUCCUCCCUCUCCCUGGUGAUUCCAGCCUGAUGACAAGAAAGCUCAUGCGAAGGCACAGUGGGCCAAGUUGUGUGUCUGACACCUGGAGCAGACGGCAUUGGCUUUCUCCAUGUUAAUAAAUUGGUGCUUACAACACAAAAAAAAAAAAAAAAAAAAAAAAAAAAAAAAAAAAAAAAAAA
rnacentral:lncRNA from 1 species